rnacentral:rRNA from 1 species
AUGCAGUGUACCCGCGGCAAGACGGAAAGACCCCGUGAACCUUUACUAUAGCUUGACACUGAACAUUGAGCCUUGAUGUGUAGGAUAGGUGGGAGGCUUAGAAGUGUGGACGCCAGUCUGCAUGGAGCCGACUUGAAUACCACCCUUUAAUGUUUGAUGUUCUAACGUUGACCCGUAAUCCGGGUUGCGGACAGUGUCUGGUGGGUAGUUUGACUGGGGCGGUCUCCUCCUAAA